UGCCUUAGCGCCGAAGAAUGUGGUACAGUUCCUGGCAAGAGGCUGCAUCAGAAGGGCAGACACUUUCCGUCCGGUAGCUGACAUGUGAAUCCUGAGGAAGGGGAGAAUCUGUGCAGAGAAGCACGUGACUUAGGGUUCAGCGAAGCGCUCUGCCUGCGAAGAGGGACUCACCUAAGUCAGGUGGCCACGCAGAAACUUCAGUGGAUGGACGCCUCUGCAUUUGAGCUGAGUCACAGGACAUUCUAGAAGGCGCGAGCAAGCAGCCUUAUUCUUGGAUGAGAAGCAUUUGCCAUGGUCAUGAGCCAGAUAGCAAAAUCCUCACAUGUUCAGUGUUCAGGACACAGGCUCAGAAACAAUGAAUCCAAAGGAAUACAGCCUGAAACCUCUUGACUCAGAAGCCAGAGUAUACACAUUUUUUUCCACCUGCCUCUUUGAAGACCCGUCUAUAACCUUCCAUAGGCACUCUGGACUGUGAUGCAUAUCAGCCAGGCAGCUUCGCUCCACCUUUCCCCGUCCCUCUACUCCAAUGUCCCAUCCAAGAACAGCUGCUGGGAACACACUAAGACCACUCUGCCAGCUCCUGGAGUCAGCCUGAAUGGAAGCCUGCAGUCACUGCUCUCCUGGUUUCUUUAAUGCAGUUUCAUCUAUGUGGGAUGGAACCCAAACCCACCCCAGGCCACCUUGUUUUCGGUUUGCACAUUCUGCAAUGCCUGUGCCUGCCUACACUGCAUCACCACGUGCUUUCCUUCCAGGCACUGGAUCUGCGUCUGGGGCUCCAGGCACCUGAAGUGGGUACUGUGACCUGGUCCUCUGAACAUUAAACAAACCACAUCAGCUUCUACCUGGCAGGCAGAGCCCCCAAAGUGUACUCAGGAAUUGGGGCAGGGCCGGCCUUUGUGUUUGGUGGUUUCGUGGACAGUAUUAACCCCUUCCCACCCACACCCACACUCACACCACGGGAGGUAAAGGGCCCACAUGUGCCUUUGGGAAUGGAGGGUAAAGAACCCUACUCCUAAAACCAUCUGCGGCUGAGUCCUACGGAUUCACCCAAGGCUUGAUCUCUUUCAUGCCACAUCUGGACAAGGGAGAUUUCUCAGUCUUACUUUUUGGAAAAACCCUGGCAAGCAUCCCUAUACUGGAGUGGAAGCCUUAGGGUUCUUUGGAGAGUCAGUUGUGUCGGAUGGUGUUUUGCUGGGGCAAACAUGUGAAGGAGUGUUUUUCUGAAGUGGGCACAGAUGAAAAACUAAGGCAGACUCAUAAAGGAAUAUUUCACUGAAGCAGACAGUUGAGAGAGGAUAUUCUACUAAAAUGAACAUGUGAAAGGACGAGAGGUGAAGGAUUCUUUGCUGACAACACGCAUGUAUUGGUCUGCCUGGCACUGUGUAGUUGAGCUGCAUUUGUCGGGACUCCGUGUACUGAUUGGUUGCACGUGCUGAAGCAAGGCACAUGGGUAACACAUGAUGUUUGGAGGGUAUAAAUAGGGCUCAGAUGGAGUGACGGGGACAGAGAUUGGCUUGUUGGUACAGCUAGCUGUGCAAUGCUUGUGGGUCUUAUGUUCACUUCCUUGAGAGAGGCACAGCUGAGAACUUCUCCUGGUGUCCUCCAGGUCCCUCCUGUUGACUCAAAGAGAGGCUGAGGCCUGGAUGUCUCUGCUAGGUCGUGCCGCCGCUGCUGACUCCUGUUUGCUAACCCAACUCUUCUGAACUGGACUGCUGGUGCACCCUGAACUGUCCGUGAGUGGAUCAAGCUGCCACGGCCUGCUGACCUGGGAACUGAACCGCCGAUUUCCAAACAACACAGAUGGGAGUUGUUCCAAGGAACCUUUCUAAACAGAUCCACUCCCCCAUAUCCUUUCUUAUCCUAUCCACUACCUCUGGUGGGUGGUGGGCUAAGAGGGAGGUUAGAGUGUUUGAGCACCAUCAUUAAAAAUAAGGUU